rnacentral:rRNA from 1 species
UGCAUGGAGCCGACCUUGAAAUACCACCCUUUAAUGUUUGAUGUUCUAACGUGGACCCGUAAUCCGGGUUGCGGACAGUGUCUGGUGGGUAGUUUGACUGGGGCGGUCUCCUCCUAAAGAGUAACGGAGGAGCACGAAGGUUGGCUAAUCCUGGUCGGACAUCAGGAGGUUAGUGCAAUGGCAUAAGCCAGCUUGACUGCGAGCGUGACGGCGCGAGCAGGUGCGAAAGCAGGUCAUAGUGAUCCGGUGGUUCUGAAUGGAAGGGCCAUCGCUCAACGGAUAAAAGGUACUCCGGGGAUAACAGGCUGAUACCGCCCAAGAGUUCAUAUCGACGGCGGUGUUUGGCACCUCGAUGUCGGCUCAUCACAUCCUGGGGCUGAAGUAGGUCCCAAGGGUAUGGCUGUUCGCCAUUUAAAGUGGUACGCGAGCUGGGUUUAGAACGUCGUGAGACAGUUCGGUCCCUAUCUGCCGUGGGCGCUGGAGAACUGAGGGGGGCUGCUCCUAGUACGAGAGGACCGGAGUGGACGCAUCACUGGUGUUCGGGUUGUCAUGCCAAUGGCACUGCCCGGUAGCUAAAUGCGGAAGAGAUAAGUGCUGAAAGCAUCUAAGCACGAAACUUGCCCCGAGAUGAGUUCUCCCUGAGACUUAGAGUC